ensembl:lncRNA
GCCCCUUACGCUGUGCGAGGAGCCUGGAAGUGCGCGUGCGUGUGCGGAUCUGCGCGUGCGCAAGGAGACGGCUGUCUUUGCUGCGCGGUCCGGCGCGGGUCUGAGGUAAGAUUUUCGCCUCUUGGGGUGUUCCGACUCUGCGCGGUCAAGCAGGAGGGGAAGACACCAGAGAAGAGGCUUGAGGUCAUAAGACGCUGGCCUUGCGCGCUGACUUGGCCGUCCCGGCCUCCGGCAGGCGCUCCCGGGCGGCGGCCCUUCCCGCGAGAGCCCGGGCCUGCUCGGCCAUUAGAGGCCCGGGCGGCAGCUCUGGGAGGAGGCGGGUCGGCCAGGCCUUGUCUCCAUCCGCGAUGCUCCCGAUUUCAAAAGGCUCCAGAGCAACUUUUGGGUCCUUUCUCCACAAGGAAAAGGAAUAGCAUCUCCGUCGUUCUCGUCACGGUGACUCCGGCCCCAAUGGCCCCCUGUCCCUGGGUCCCGGUGAGCACUCGGUGGCUUUGUUCCGGCCGUGGGUGUCGGUUACAGAAGUUUGAUUGGGAGAUUUGUCUUAAUGCCAGAUGGUCAGCACCUCAGUGGAAUAUUUUGGAUGGGAAAAAAUCCAGUGUGGUGGAAAUGGAGAGAAACUACAUCAGAGAGAAAUCAAUUUUAACCACUGUAAAGAAGCCUUGAGUGUUCACACUCAUGCCUUAAGGCUCAAAGGAAAACUUACAUUAGAAAGAAAACUUGUGUUAUCAGUGUGAAAAUGCCUUCAUAAAGAACUGUGCCCUUGAUCUACACAAGAAAACCCAUUCUGGAGAGAAUGCUCCUGUUAGUAUAAUCGGUGUGAAACAGGCUUCAACCAAAAUUUACACCUGGUUCACAAGAAAACUUACACUCAAGAGAACCCUAUAAAUGCGCUGACUGUAAGAAAGGCUUACCUUCUUCCUCAUACCUUAGGGAAUGUAUAAGAAUUCAUGGUGGAGAGAGGACGUAUGCUUUUAAAGAACGUAGGAAAGCUCUUUCUCAUUCUACAAACCUUUUUGUACAUAUGCAAACUCACUAGAGAAAUAUCCUAUGAGUGUAAAGGAUGUGGGAAGACUUUCACUCAAUCUUCAUGUUAUUCAGCAUUUAAGAAUUCACAGUGGACUGAUGCCUGUGAAAUGUAAGAAACUUGAAAAAGCCUUUUCUUAUUCCCCAGAUCUUGCUAAGGAUAUAAGAUUUUAUACUAGAAACACUGUGUAAGGAGUGCAGCCCAGAGUUUACUUUUCUCAGAACAGUAUUCACAUGCGAAUUCAAACUGGAGAAAAACCUUAUAAAUGUAAGGAAUGUGGAAAAGCCUUUGCUAGUUCCUCAUACCUUACUGUACAUAUGAAGAAUUCACUGGUGAGAUGCCUUGUCAUUGUAAGGAAUGUGGGAAAAUGUUUAGUAUUUCAUCUUGCUUUAAAAGUCACCUGGAAACUCACCCUGGGGUAAAACCUUAUAAGCACUGUGGGAAAGCCUUUAUUUGAUUCUCAUUUCUUAUUCGACAUUUAAGAAUGCACGAUGUAGGGACUUCCCUGGUGGUCCAGUGGUUAAAACUACGCUUCCAAUGUAGGGGGCACGGGCAUGGGUUCUAUUCCAGGUUGGGGAACUAAGAUCCCACAUAUGCUGGUGUAGCCAAAAAUAAAUAAUUAAAUUUUAAAAAAUAAAGAGUGCACAGAAAGACCUUUUGAAUGUAAGGAAUGUGGUAAAGCAUUUAGAUAAUCCUCGUACUUUAGUCAACAUAAAAGAAACACAUACUGGAGAGAAGCGUAUAAAUAUAAAAAAUGUGGGAAAGCCUUCACUAUUUCAUCAGGCCUUACAGUACACGUGAGAAUUCACACUGGUGAACAACCUUUUGAAUGUAAGGAAUGUGGGAAAUCCUUUACUCGAUCCACAUGUCUUAUUCAACAUUUAAGAAUUCACAGUGGGGAGAAGCCAUAUAUAUGAGGAAUAUGGGAAAACCUUUAGUAAUACUUCAUGCUUUUCUGAAUGUAUACACAUUCACACUUGAGAGAGAACUUAUGCUUGCAAAGAGUGUGGGAAAGCCUUUGAUACUUUCACACUUACUGAACAUGUACUAAUUCAUAGUGGAGGUAACCUUAUUGUAAGGAAUGUGGGAAGCCUUUUGCUCUGCCUUAUACUUUAAUAUUCAGCUGUGAGUUCACAGGUGUGAAAAUCUUACGAAUGUAAAAAGUAUAGGAUUUUUUUUAGUUUUUAUUUCCUGCUAUGGGAAAGUAUGAAACCACACAUAAUGAGAAAUCCCCUGAGUGAAAGGGAUAUAGGAAAGCCUUUGUUCUUUGUCAUUAGGAAACAUGAUUCACACUGGAGAAGAACCAUAAAUUAUAAAUAUAGGGAGUGUGGAAAAGGCUAUGUUAAUUUAUUGUAAAAGUCACAC